rnacentral:rRNA from 1 species
GAUGAACGCUGGCGGCAGGUUUGACACAUGCAAGUCGAACGGGAAGCCGGUGCUUGCACCGGUGGAGAGUGGCGAACGGCUGAGUAACACGUAGGAACCUACCCCUUGGACUGGGAUAACGGGCCGAAAGGCUCGCUAAUACCGGAUAUAUUCUUCGGAAGGAAAUGGUCCGCCGCCGGGGGAAGGGCCUGCGGCGCAUUAGCUUGAUGGUGGGGUAACGGCCUACCAUGGCAAUGAUGCGUAGCUGGUCUGAGAGGACGAUCAGCCAGACUGGGACUGCGACACGGCCCAGACUCCUACGGGAGGCAG